UACGUAGGAGGCAAGCGUUGUUCGGAAUUACUGGGCGUAAAGCGCACGCAGGCGGAUUGAUAAGUCGGGGGUGAAAUCCCGGGGCUCAACCUCGGAAUUGCCUUCGAUACUGUUAGUCUUGAGUCCGGGAGAGGUGAGUGGAAUUCCUAGUGUAGAGGUGAAAUUCGUAGAUAUUAGGAAGAACACCAGUGGCGAAGGCGGCUCACUGGCCCGGUACUGACGCUCAUGUGCGAAAGCGUGGGGAGCAAACAGG
rnacentral:rRNA from 1 species